rnacentral:rRNA from 1 species
GACGAACGCUGGCGGCGUGCUUAACACAUGCAAGUCGAACGGAAAGGCCCUGCUUUUGUGGGGUGCUCGAUUGGCGAACGGGUGAGUAACACGUGAGUAACCUGCCCUUGACUUUGGGAUAACUUCAGGAAACUGGGGCUAAUACCGGAUAGGAGCUCCUGCUGCAUGGUGGUGGAUGGAAAGUUUCGGCGGUUGGGGAUGGACUCGCGGCUUAUCAGCUUUUUGGUGGGGUAGUGGCUUACCAAGGCUUUGACGGGUAGCCGGCCUGAGAGGCUGACCGGCCACCAUGGGACUGAGAUACGGACCAGAAUCGUACGGGAGGCAGCAGUGGGGAAUAUUGCACAACGGGCGCAAGCCUGAUGCAGCAACGCCGCGUGCGUGAUGCCCGCCUUCGGGGUGUAAACCGCUUUCGAAUGAGACGAAGAGUGAGUGACGGUAAUGGGUAAAAAAGCAACGGCUAACUACGUG